rfam:Plasmopara halstedii genome assembly, contig: Scaffold_427
UUCUUUGUAGCUCAACGGUAGAGCAAAUGGCUGUUAACCAUUAGGUUGUGGGUUCGAAUCCUAUCGAAGAAG